rnacentral:sRNA from 1 species
UUUAAUGCACUGCCCCAUUCUGCUGUACCAGAAUAUGGACACAUUCCAAGCUUUCUUGUCGAUGCUUGCACAUCUUUAGAAGAACAUAUUCAUACUGAAGGGCUUUUUCGGAAAUCAGGAUCUGUGAUUCGCCUAAAAGCACUAAAGAAUAAAGUGGAUCAUGGUGAAGGUUGCCUAUCUUCUGCACCUCCUUGUGAUAUUGCGGGACUUCUUAAGCAGUUUUUUAGGGAACUGCCAGAGCCCAUUCUCCCAGCUGAUUUGCAUGAAGCACUUUUGAAAGCUCAACAGUUAGGCACUGAGGAAAAGAAUAAAGCUACACUGUUGCUCUCCUGUCUUCUGGCUGACCACACAGUUCAUGUAUUAAGAUACUUCUUUAACUUUCUCAGGAAUGUUUCUCUUAGAUCCAGUGAGAAUAAGAUGGAUAGCAGCAAUCUUGCAGUAAUAUUUGCACCGAAUCUUCUUCAGACAAGUGAAGGACAUGAAAAGAUGUCUUCUAACACAGAAAAGAAGGAACUAUGAAGGCAACUGUUAGAAAGUUGGUAUAUUACUGACCUCACCCCCACCCUACAGUACCGGCCCCUCCUGCAAA